rnacentral:rRNA from 1 species
GUGUCAGCAGCCGCGGUAAUACGAAGGACCCGAGCGUUAUCCGGAUUUAUUGGGUUUAAAGGGUGCGUAGGCGGACAUGCAAGUCAGUGGUGAAAUCUCUCUGCUCAACAGAGAAACUGCCAUUGAAACUAUGUGUCUUGAGUACAUUUGAGGCGGGCGGAAUGUGUCAUGUAGAGGUGAAAUUCUUAGAUAUGACACAGAACACCAAUUGCGAAGGCAGCUCGCUAAACUGUAACUGACGCUGAGGCACGAAAGCGUGGGGAUCAAACAGGAUUAGAUACCCUUGUAGUCC